AACUCCCGAAGAGAAUCCAUCGCUGAAGAAAAUCUUCAUCUCCAAUCUGAGCAGAGACUAGGUAUGUUAAUGACAUGUGGUUCAAUUAAGUACUCACUCUCUUAAACUUUAAAUCUUGAAAGAAAUUAUUUGUUUGUGUUUGUGCGUGUGAACUUGAUUUUGUGUGGUGAAUGUAAACUCAGCUGUCAUUACAAGCAGCAGGAGAGCACCUUGUUAACCUCGUGGUAUACUGCAUGCUCAAAUCAUCAUAGCAUUGUUUAUUUAGGCUGCUCACAUAGCAUUUAUCUUUUUAUUAACAGGCCAAAGAAAAGGACUCACUCUGAAGACUUUUCCAAACAGCACUUUGAACAGGUUUCCCCAUCUCCUCCCAUACCAUGGGCCAGAGGAGCAUGACCACCUGGGUGAGGAGUUUCUGAAUUAUCAGACCAUGCCAACCACCUCCCUUCAGGACGAAACUGAGAUGGAAAGCUUCUGGGCUGGAAUGGCAACACGGAAACAUAAGGUGGCAGGAACCAAAGAAUUUGAGAGGCUUGUUGCCGUCGCCAAGCUGGUCCUGGUGUUGCCCCAUUCGAAUGCAGAUGCUGAGAGGGUGUUUUCAGUUCAGUGGGACUGAACAAAACUAAGACCAGAAAUAGCCUGGCAUUGGAUGGCACCCUGUCUUCAAUAAUGGCCAUAAAGAUGGCCGACCUGGAGCCCUGUUUCAGAUGGGAGCCCCCUCAGAGGUCAUCAAGGCCUCCAAGAAGGCCACAGGCCAGUACAACCUUGCCCACAGAUCUUAGAAAAUGACUAACCAGGUUCUGAUCUGCACCUGAUACCUCAUUUUUAGUUAUUUUUGUCAUGUGUUGAUCUUUUUAUUGCUUAAAAAGGCUACUGUUUAAGCACUUUAUUUGUUGCACUUUUUUGUUUGAUGGAACGUGUGGUGGGAGGCUUUGAAUAUGAAAAAUAUUU
rnacentral:lncRNA from 1 species